AGGAGGAUGGCUCCUUGAGGGCUUGGCACGGAUACCUGACGGUCAGAGGAAGGUGGGAGAGCCUGUAAGGGAGGCUGACCCAAAACUGAGGCCCAGUGCAUCAUCCCUCAUGAGAGGCAAGCCCAGAAGCGCCACAAUACUGCCCCCUUCAGGAGACAGAGACCCCCAGGACACGGAGGCCCUCCAAGUCACUCAGCCCCCGCCAGGACACGCAGCUCCUGCAGGACACAGAGGGCGCCCAAGACACACAGUCCCCAGGACAGAGACCCCCCAGGACACAGAGGACCCCCAAGACACGCAGUCUCCAGGACACAGAGCCCCCUACCCCAGGACACACAGUGCCCCCAGGACACAGAGGUCCCCCAGGACACAGCACUCCUAGGACACACAGCCCCCCCGUGACACAGAAACCCCCCCAGGACACAGCCUCCCCCAGUACACAGAGUCCUUUCCAGGACACAUAGCCCCCCAGAGAACACACAGCUCCUCAGGACACAGAGGCCCCCCCUAAGACACAGCCCCCCCACGACACACAGCCCAUAGAGGACACAGCCCCUUAGUACCCCACCUAAAGGACAGGUGGCCCUCACACAGCACAGUCCCCGCAGGACUCCGGGGUCCUCAGGUCACAUUGUCCAUGAGACACAGCCCCCCCAAGACACGCAGCCUCCCCAGGACACAGAGCCCCCCCCAAUACACGCAGACCCCCAGGACACAGAGGCCUCCCAGGACACAGGACCCCCAGGACACGCACCCCCAAGACAGACCCCCAGGACACAGUGGCCUUCCAGGACACAGAAGCACCACCGAGGACACGUGCCCCUCCCCCCAGGACAGAGGCCCCCCUCCAGGUCAUAAAGGCCCCCCCCCGGACAUAGGGGCCCCCUAGGACACACAGCCCCUUAGGACCCCACCUAAAGGACAAGGUGGCCCUCACACAGCACAGCCCCCGCAGGACUCCGGGCCCCUCAGGUCACGUUGCUCACAGGGCACUGUUCUCCUCCACUCUUAGGGUCAGGCUGCUGGGGGCAUCUUGGUCACAGAGCUUUGUCCCUGGGCUUGGCUCAUGCAGUGGAUGGCUGUGGAGGCCUGAGUGCUGGCCUUCGUGUCUCCUGCCCAGGGAGUCCUCUCCACCCCCCCUCCUCACUUUCCUGACCCCUCUUGGGCUCUCCCUGUUCCCUGCAGCACACCUGAUCUCCUAGGAGGUUCUGACACCGUCCCCUCGCAGCCACCUGCCUCCACCCCUGUCUGUCAUCCUCAUUCCACCCUCGCCACUUGCCUGAGCUGGUGCUGACCUCUCAGCCAUGGGGAGAAAGGAGCUGGACUGUAAGCUGAGAUCACUGGCCCACUUGGGCCAGGCGGUCCCUGCGUCGUGGGCAUUGAACACCUCGAUUCCCAUACAAGAGGGGCUCCUCCCUGAGAGUGACCAGGAGCCUUCCGAUGGCGGAGCGAGUUGGGCCGCCCGGGUCCAAAUCACAGAGCUGGGGAGAGACCUAAGUGCGGUCCAGGGGCUCAGCACCGUCUUCCCUGGAGGGCACUGGGUUCUCCUCUCUGCACACGUACCGGUACCUGCUGUGAGAAGUGUCACGUGGGGGAAGGAGAGAGGCGUGGGGUCUCUGCAGAUGUGAUAAAGCGAGAAGCCCUGAGACAGGAAGACUGUCCCGAAUUGUCUGGACGUCCCCAAGUGCCAUCACAUGCUUCUUCAGGCAGAGGAAGGAUUGACCAACAGAAAACACCACAUGGGGACGGAGGUGGAGACUGCAGUGAUGUGGCCACAAGCCCAGGAAUGCCCAGGGCCCCCAGAAGCUGGAAGAGGCCGGAAGGACCCUGCCAGAGCCUCCAGAGGGCGCCAUGCCUUGAUCUCAGCCCAGUGAUGCUGAUUUUGGACUUGGACUCCAGAACAGUGACGGAACACACUUCUGUUGUUUCAGGCCCCCGGGGCUGUGGUAGUUUAUUACAGCAACAGUAACAGACCUUGAAACCCACGCCGAGGGCUUGGCAGGACAUUCUUGGUAGUCCUGAGGAGCCGUCAAUUACAAAACAAGAAAAAGGAAGGAAGAGAAAAAUACAGGUUUGGCCUGGUUUAAUGUUGCAAAGGGAGGAUCCGUUUCCUUACCCUCCACCAUCACCGAGCCGGGAACAGAGGGAGAAGAGGCCCCUCAACGUGGGUUUCUUCAACGUGGACUCUCCUUUCUUUGCAUCUCAGUGUCCUUGUGUUUGCAGCUGGGAGGUCAGCCCUGUCGUCCUCACCCCGACCUGUGGCACAGCAGAGAGAAGGCUGCAGAGGUCUUCACAGUGUGUCUGCACAAGGCUGGCCACCCUCUCCAGACACUGUCCCCUCAGGGUUCACCUUCUGUUCACAGACCACACCCCUGCCUCCCCAUGCACUUUGUCCCCGUGGCUGCCGUGCCCAGGUGGCCACACACCCCCCAGCCUGGCUCCACCCGCAGGGACCAGUGCUCCUCUCUCCUGCCUGGGCCUCAGUUCCACCAUCUCUGAAUACAGGCUUUGCCCCU